rnacentral:rRNA from 1 species
AGCAGUGGGGAAUAUUGGACAAUGGGCGCAAGCCUGAUCCAGCCAUACCGCGUGGGUGAAGAAGGCCUUCGGGUUGUAAAGCCCUUUUGUUGGGAAAGAAAUCCAGCUGGCUAAUACCCGGUUGGGAUGACGGUACCCAAAGAAUAAGCACCGGCUAACUUCGUGCCAGCAGCCGCGGUAAUACGAAGGGUGCAAGCGUUAUUCGGAAUUACUGGGCGUAAAGCGUGCGUAGGUGGUCGUUUAAGUCCGUUGUGAAAGCCCUGGGCUCAACCUGGGAACUGCAGUGGAUACUGGGCGACUAGAGUGUGGUAGAGGGUAGCGGAAUUCCUGGUGUAGCAGUGAAAUGCGUAGAGAUCAGGAGGAACAUCCAUGGCGAAGGCAGCUACCUGGACCAACACUGACACUGAGGCACGAAAGCGUGGGGAGCAAACAGGAUUAGAUACCCUGGUAGUCCACGCCCUAAACGAUGCGAACUGGAUGUUGGGUGCAAUUUGGCACGCAGUAUCGAAGCUAACGCGUUAAGCUCGCA